rnacentral:rRNA from 1 species
UACGGAGGGUCCAAACGUUGUCCGGAAUCACUGGGCGUAAAGAGCAUGUAGGUGGCUUGGUAAGUGUACGAUUAAAGACCGACGCCUAACGUCGGGAGUGUUGUACAUACUGCCUGGCUUGAGUCUAUCAGGGGCAAGCGGAACUUUGGGUGUAGGGGUGAAAUCCGUAGAUAUCCAAAGGAACACCAAUGGCGAAGGCAGCUUGCUAGGGUAGUUCUGACACUGAGACGCGAAAGCUAGGGGAGCGAACAGG